ensembl:lncRNA
AUGAUCAAGCUAGUUUUUCAAGAUGCAUUUUUGAAAAGCAUUUUUUUUUAAACAAGUAUUCAAGAUGCAUCUUUUCUAGGCUUUUUUCUUUUCAAGUAACGGAGAAGUAACUUUAUAACUGGAAAAAGGUCAUUGAAGAGCAAGUCUAGGCUUUCUUCCACCUCCAUUUACGUUAUUAAGGCCCAGAAAACAGAAGACAACCUAUUCACAUUUCAAAGCAUAGUAGAUGAUGUAUUUGUUAUCAUUGAAAAUGCACAUUGAUAAGAGCCAUGAAGACUGGGAGCUUGAUCAGCAGUGUUUCUGUGCUUGCGAGGUCAACCUGAACCCCUGGGAGCCUGCCUUCUGUGACCGUCACACCAGCAGACAGCUGCACUAAAAAAGGAGCUCAAGAAGAAUGUUAUUCAACUUGAAACAAAAUUUUUACUGAGAAAAUAAGGCUUGAAGCAGAAGAAAUCCCAGCUGGCCUAUUUCCAUUAUCUAAUUAAGAAGGUCCACGCUGCUGUGAGGACUUCUAGGCUUCUCUUCUCCCUACUGCCUGGUAUCCUAGAACACCCAUCUAUAUAUACAUCUGACUCUCCUAGUCCCCAGGUGGCAGACACAAGUUGCCUCCAGCAAACCAGGUUAAAGAGGGCUUCUCAGAAGAUGGUCCUAGGAAGUCAUGCUACUACAUGAAUGAAAGUAAAAUUGGAUCCCCACCUACCACUACGUCCCAGGAAGUAUCAGUUGAAGAAAAUAAGAAUGAAGGAGCGUGGUGUCUGCAAGUUUGGUUCAUAGAAAACAAUAGUGCUACCCAGAUGGAACUGAGCAGCCUCUUUCUUCAUGUCCUUCCUGUGCACCUCGACACAUUUCUGCUGUAGCAUCUGCACGUGCUCCUUCACCUGGCUGCUGCCUCCAGCAGGACUGCAAGCCCCCAGAAUGGUGCCCUUUUAUCCUUGGUUUGUCACUUUGUGCCUGGAACACCUCACAAAGGGUGUUAAUGAUUUAUGUUCAUUUAUUCUUUUUGUAAUCGGAAUGAAAGUCUCAUAAUAUUAACCAUUCUAAAGUGAACAAUUUACUUCUAGGACAUUCACAAUGUUGCGCAACCACCAUCUCGAUCUAGUUCCCAGACUUUUUUUCCCACCAAAAUAUAACCCAUACUCAUUAAGCAGUUACUCCCCAUUCUUACCUCCCUAUACCCCUGGCAAUCAUCUGUGUUCUUUCUAUGUGUUUGCCUAUUCUGGGUAUUUCAUCUAAUAGAAUCAUACAGUAUGUGAUCGUUUUGUCUGGUUUAUUUCACUUAGCAUAUUGUUUUCCAGGUUUAUCCACAUUAUAGCAUGCAUCUGUACUUCAUUCCUUUUUUUUUUUCGUCUCACCUUGUGGCUGGCAGGAUCUUAGUUUCCUGACAAGAGAUCAAAUUUGUGCUCCCUGCAUUGGGAGUGCGGAGUCUUAGCCCUGGACUGCCAGGGAAAUCCCCAUUCCUUUUUUUUUUUUUUAAUGUUCCUUCUUCUAUUCAUAUUUUUCUCUCCCACCUCCCUGUGCCUCCUCUGUGCUUAUCCAACGUAAUUCAUCACUCAAGAACUAAAUCAAGUCGUACGUUUUUCAUAAAGAUUUCUACAUCCUUCAUCUUCCCUGAACCCCUUUAGCUCUAUCUACAUUACUUAAUGUAAAUGCCACACACAAGUGAUGUGUAGGAUUGGUUUUUAAAUAAUCCAGCAGGUAUCAGGGUGAAGAGAGGGAUGAAUGAGACCAGGUUGGCCAUAUAUUGAUGAUCACUGGAGCAAGGGAUGGGUACAUGGAGGCUGAUAAUGUCUUUCUCUCUAUAUUGUGUAUGUUUGAAAGUUUCCAGAAUAAAAAUUUUAAA